UUAAGUCCCGCAACGAGCGCAACCCUUGUCAUUAGUUGCCAUCAUUUGGUUGGGCACUCUAAUGAGACUGCCGGUGACAACCGGAGGAAGGUGGGGAUGACGUCAAGUCCUCAUGGCCCUUAUGGGUAGGGCUUCACACGUCAUACAAUGGUCGGUACAGAGGGUUGCCAACCCGCGAGGGGGAGCUAAUCCCACAAAGCCGAUCGUAGUCCGGAUCGCAGUCUGCAACUCGACUGCGUGAAGUCGGAAUCGCUAGUAAUCGUGGAUCAGCAUGUCACGGUGAAUACGUUCCCGGGUCUU
rnacentral:rRNA from 1 species